rnacentral:pre_miRNA from 1 species
CUGCACUAUAUGACAGAAGAGAGAGAGCACAGCCCGACACCGGCGAAAAGGGCGUCGCUGUUGCUGGGUCUGGGCUCUCUUAUCUUUCUGUCAUAUACAAUAU